rnacentral:lncRNA from 12 species
AUGUUUGCCCUGCCCCCUCCCCUUGGAGGAUCCAGCGAUUCCCUGAAGAUGAAAGCAGGAGGCAUCAAAUGCUUCCAUUUUCUCCUGAGAUCCACCGUCAUAACCAGCUCCAAGCCUUCUUCGUUUCUGUUCUUUCUCCUAGUAGCUGUGGAAGGGCUCCUUAUGCUGCCCUUACCAUCUCCCCCACCACCUCGUUGGGACCAUAUCCUGCCUGCUCUGUUCUCACAGCUUUGUGCCACAUCCGUAUCUUUCUCAUGCCUCCAGAAUCCACUGAACAGCUGUGCAGAUUGCUCAUUGCACAACCCUCGGGGCACCAUUCACAGAGGCAAUGAGAGCUUCAGGAUAGGAACUGCAGGCUGGUGGAAUCAAUCACGUGAUCAGAAGUUUGGAAUUUUCAGCCCAAUCCCCAGGCCUCCAGGGACUUGAAGAUCUUCCAAGUUGGUGAAUAUAUCCUGGUGCUGCACCUCAACUCCACAGGGACAGAAAGUCCUGUACUAGAGCUCCUUCUGGUCCUCACUCUGUGUUCCUCUACACUUGGCUUUUCAUCUGGAUUCUUUGUAAUAUCCUUUAUACUAGACCAGUAAACAGAAGUAGUUUUUUUUCUCCCUGAGUUAUGUGAGCUGUUCAAGCGAACUAUGGAACCCAAGAAGGGGUAUGUGGGAACUCCUGAUGCAUAGUUGACUGGUCAGAAGUAUGGGAGACCUGGACUUGUGAUUGGCAUCUGAAGUGGGGGACAGUCUAGCCUGUGGUGUCUGGGCUAAGUCUGGGGAGUUGGGGUCAGAGGACACCCAGUUGGUGUUCACAGAGAAUUAGGGAAUUGGUUGGUAUGGGAAAAACAGCCCCACAUGUUUGAUGUCAGAAGUGCUGUAAGUAGAGAAACCGUUUUUUCUUCGUGUGUAUAAGAACUCCAGGAUUAGGAGUUGGCAGCCUCGUCACUUCGUCGGCCAAUUGUGCUAUUUGCCUUGUGGCUGGACAGUAAUGAGUGGGUGUUACUUUGGCCCUACACAAAGUCCAGCUCCCCAUUUAGCAAUUCACUUUGCCAUUUCAACAUUAAGGAAUAGUCUUCAAAGGAAUCAAUAAUCUCAUUAGAAUUGGAAAGUAUUGAUUUUCCAAUUCUGUCAAUACUUUCAUGUUUAAUAGCUGACAUUUUUCUGGAAGGUAGAGCUUUCUCUCAUCAACUGAAAAUACAGUUCCUGCUGGAAAAGUAGAAUAAAUGCUAAUACUUUUAUUUUACA